GCUAUUUCGCUACCUAUGUAUUAACCGAUUAUCAUAUUUUACAGGAUUUCCGAUAUGAGACAAAAAAAACGGUGGGAGGGGGGGGGGGGGGGGGGGGGGGGGUUCACGGCGCGAUUUUAUUUUGACGAUCGGACGGGCCGAACACGGCAAAAAAGACAAACAAUAAUAAUACCGUUUUACUGGGUCGUGGUGAUGAUGUGCCGUUUGAUUUUGGGUCGAAUCUCCAAUACGAUCCGAUCACGGUAAAAUUACCGCUGUACGAUUAACUGUAAUGGAGUUGCUGU